rfam:Sphaerobolus stellatus SS14 unplaced genomic scaffold SPHSTscaffold_79, whole genome shotgun sequence.
GGUCUAUUAGCUCAGUUGGUUAGACUAUGGUAUUAAUAAUGCAAAGGUCACAGGUUUGAUCCCUGUAUGGACCA